rnacentral:ncRNA from 1 species
CGCAUUUUUUGAAGCCACGGCAGCUGUCAAAACAACUGUGUCGCCGUAACGAACUAAGACUGCUCCGUUUGCUUGUUUUGCUAAUUGUCCUACCUCUACUGAUAAUGGGCGUCCGCCCCAAGUGGUUGAAAAUACUUGUUUUGUCAUAUGUUCUCCUUUUUGCUGUAAGUUGUGACUGCUACUAAACAAAGAGAAAAAGUGAAGCUCAUUCACUUCUUGUCUUUGGUUAGUAGUAAGCCAAG